GACGAACCGAGCGAACGUUGUUCGGAAUCACUGGGCUUAAAGGGCGCGUAGGCGGGUGACUAAGUCUGUGGUGAAAUCCGGCAGCUUAACUGUCGAAUUGCCAUGGAUACUGGUUGUCUCGAGGGAGGCAGGGGUGCGCGGAACUAAUGGUGGAGCGGUGAAAUGCGUUGAUAUCAUUAGGAACUCCGGUGGCGAAGGCGGCGCACUGGUCCUCUUCUGACGCUGAGGCGCGAAAGCCAGGGGAGCAAACGGG
rnacentral:rRNA from 2 species